GAAUCUUAGACAAUGGGCGCAAGCCUGAUCUAGCCAUGCCGCGUGAGUGAUGAAGGCCUUAGGGUCGUAAAGCUCUUUCGCCAGGGAUGAUAAUGACAGUACCUGGUAAAGAAACCCCGGCUAACUCCGUGCCAGCAGCCGCGGUAAUACGGAGGGGGUUAGCGUUGUUCGGAAUUACUGGGCGUAAAGCGCACGUAGGCGGACUUUUAAGUCAGAGGUGAAAUCCCAGGGCUCAACCCUGGAACUGCCUUUGAUACUGGAAGUCUUGAGUUCGAGAGAAGUGAGUGGAAUUCCGAGUGUAGGGGUGAAAUUCGUAGAUAUUCGGAGGAACACCAGUGGCGAAGGCGGCUCACUGGCUCGAUACUGACGCUGAGGUGCGAAAGUGUGGGGAGCAAACAGG
rnacentral:rRNA from 1 species